ensembl:misc_RNA Metazoa_SRP Metazoan signal recognition particle RNA
GCCGGGCGUGGUGGCGUGUGCCUGUAGUCCCAGCUACUUGGGAGGCUGAGGCAGGAGAAUUGCUUGAACCUGGGAGGUGGAGGUUGCAGUGAGCCGAGAUUUAGCCACUGCACUCCAGCCUGAGUGACAGAGCAAAACUCUGUCUCAA